CACGCCAAGCACGCCAUGAGUGAAGCAGACGUAAAUGGACCGAAUAAAAUGGGGAAAAGCGAGAUGUGAUUGGUCCGUGGUGCAGCGCGGCAAGCAGAACCAAGGUGAUGAUGGGCAGCAAAGGACAGCCUGAAGGUAGGAGGCACAUGCUUGUAUACACAAUGAAGAGCUAACCUCGUCGAAUUCAAGCUCGCCAGAUCCAUCAGGGUCAGCUUCGGACAUCAAUUCCGACAUAGCAUCCUUGGAAAUUGUAAAGCCCAGGGCCCCAAACGCGUGCAAAAUUUCUUUGACGUCCAGUGCGCCGCUGCCAUCGCUGUCCAACAUUUCGAAGCACUCCUGAAUUUCCGCACGCUGCUGGGCGGUCAUGGCUGCAAGCAAG
rnacentral:lncRNA from 1 species